rfam:Medicago truncatula strain A17 chromosome 4, whole genome shotgun sequence.
CUCAUAAGUAAUAAAAGGUUCGUUUAGGUCCCUUAACUUUAUUUUAAGUAUCGGUUUAAUCAUUUAUGUUAAUUUAAUUCAAAAAAGCGUUAAGUUUAGGGACGAAACUAAUACUAAUUAAAUAAGUUAAGGGACCAAUCUAACACUAAUUAAAUAAGUUAAGGGACCAAAACUUGCCGUUUUUUGAAUUAAAUUAAUAGAAAAGAUCAAACCGAUACUUUAAAUAAAAUUAAAGGACCUAAACGAACUUUUUAUUACUUAUGGGA